CGGCCCAGACUCCUACGGGAGGCAGCAGUGGGGAAUAUUGGACAAUGGGCGAAAGCCUGAUCCAGCAAUGCCGCGUGAGUGAAGAAGGCCUUCGGGUUGUAAAGCUCUUUUGUCAGGGAAGAAACGGGUCUUUCUAAUACAGAGAUCUAAUGACGGUACCUGAAGAAUAAGCACCGGCUAACUACGUGCCAGCAGCCGCGGUAAUACGUAGGGCGCAAGCGUUAUCCGGAAUUAUUGGGCGUAAAGCGCGCGUAGGCGGAUCAGAAAGUUGGGGGUGAAAUCCCGGGGCUCAACCCUGGAAUGGCCUUCAAAACUCCUGGUCUUGAGUUCGAGAGAGGUGAGUGGAAUUCCGAGUGUAGAGGUGAAAUUCGUAGAUAUUCGGAA
rnacentral:rRNA from 15 species